CAGGAGGCAACGGCUCCCUUCCAACGACAUCCUCCUCCGUCCUCCCCCAUCCUCCCCCAGUAGCAGCGCGGCUGGAAGUUGCCUCUAUCUUUAGAAACAUUUCAUAUCACUUUAACUCCCAACAUUGGGACUAACAGUAUACAUCUGGCAAAACUACUAGCUGGAGUUACUGGUGCAAUGAGCAAACGUGGAAGAACUUCUCUCUCUGUGAUGCUACCUGGCUUGCUCAAGUUUUGACACUGUGACCCUGGUCUGUCAGCACCAUGCUUUACUCAACUGAAAUAAGCAAGCCGCCACUGUGGUGGGAUGAGGGAGAGGGUGGGGUGAGAAGGGGAAUGAGGGCAAUUAUAUACAUCAUUAAAAUACCACGAUAUACAGUGAAAAUGUGUCUGUUAAUACAUCUGAGACUUGAAAAUCAUUAAUCUUAGCUAUUAAAACUACAUUCAACUAUUACAAUUUCAAAUACCUGCAAAUGUAGAGCUUUCAGAUAUGCCCUAAAUUUAAAUAUGAAUGGAAGUUCAUUAUCAGCAAGCUAGAAGAAACAAAUUGCAUACAUUUUGUAAGUGGUAACCUACCCCCUGCCCCACCCCCCCAAAAAAGUAGAAAUUAGGUAAAAA